UGAUAGUACCUUACUACUUGGAUAACCGUGGUAAUUCUAGAGCUAAUACAUGCUAAAAACCUCGACUUCGGAAGGGGUGUAUUUAUUAGAUAAAAAACCAAUGCCCUUCGGGGCUCCUUGGUGAUUCAUAAUAACUUAACGAAUCGCAUGGCCUUGUGCCGGCGAUGGUUCAUUCAAAUUUCUGCCCUAUCAACUUUCGAUGGUAGGAUAGUGGCCUACCAUGGUUUCAACGGGUAACGGGGAAUUAGGGUUCUAUUCCGGAGAGGGAGCCUGAGAAACGGCUACCACAUCCAAGGAAGGCAGCAGGCGCGCAAAUUACCCAAUCCCGACACGGGGAGGUAGUGACAAUAAAUACUGAUACAGGGCUCUUUUGGGUCUUGUAAUUGGAAUGAGUACAAUUUAAAUCCCUUAACGAGGAACAAUUGGAGGGCAAGUCUGGUGCCAGCAGCCGCGGUAAUUCCAGCUCCAAUAGCGUAUAUUAAAGUUGUUGCAGUUAAAAAGCUCGUAGUUGAAACUUGGGCCUGGCUGGCCGGUCCGCCUCACCGCGUGCACUGGUCCGGCCGGGCCUUUCCUUCUGGGGAGCCGCAUGCCCUUCACUGGGUGUGUCGGGGAACCAGGACUUUUACUUUGAAAAAAUUAGAGUGUUCAAAGCAGGCCUAUGCUCGAAUACAUUAGCAUGGAAUAAUAGAAUAGGACGAAGGUCUUAUUUUGUUGGUUUCUAAGACCGCCGUAAUGAUUAAUAGGGAUAGUCGGGGGCAUCAGUAUUCAAUUGUCAGAGGUGAAAUUCUUGGAUUUAUUGAAGACUAACUACUGCGAAAGCAUUUGCCAAGGAUGUUUUCAUUAAUCAGUGAACGAAAGUUAGGGGAUCGAAGACGAUCAGAUACCGUCGUAGUCUUAACCAUAAACUAUGCCGACUAGGGAUCGGGCGAUGUUAUCUUUUUGACUCGCUCGGCACCUUACGAGAAAUCAAAGUUUUUGGGUUCUGGGGGGAGUAUGGUCGCAAGGCUGAAACUUAAAGAAAUUGACGGAAGGGCACCACCAGGAGUGGAGCCUGCGGCUUAAUUUGACUCAACACGGGGAAACUCACCAGGUCCAGACACAAUAAGGAUUGACAGAUUGAGAGCUCUUUCUUGAUUUUGUGGGUGGUGGUGCAUGGCCGUUCUUAGUUGGUGGAGUGAUUUGUCUGCUUAAUUGCGAUAACGAACGAGACCUUAACCUGCUAAAUAGCCAGGCUAGCUUUGGCUGGUCGCCGGCUUCUUAGAGGGACUAUCGGCUCAAGCCGAUGGAAGUUUGAGGCAAUAACAGGUCUGUGAUGCCCUUAGAUGUUCUGGGCCGCACGCGCGCUACACUGAUAGAGCCAACGAGUUCAUCACCUUGACCGAAAGGUCUGGGUAAUCUUGUUAAACUCUAUCGUGCUGGGGAUAGAGCAUUGCAAUUAUUGCUCUUCAACGAGGAAUUCCUAGUAAGCGCAAGUCAUCAGCUUGCGCUGAUUACGUCCCUGCCCUUUGUACACACCGCCCGUCGCUACUACCGAUUGAAUGGCUCAGUGAGGCUUUCGGACUGGCCUAGGAAGAGUGGCAACACUCGUCUCGGGCCGGAAAGUUGUUCAAACUUGGUCAUUUAGAGGAAGUAAAA
rnacentral:rRNA from 1 species